GCCCAAGAGAUCGGGAUAACACCUGGAAACAGAUGCUAAUACCGGAUAACAACAGAUGAUGCCUAUCAACUGUUUAAAAGAUGGUUCUGCUAUCACUCUUGGAUGGACCUGCGGUGCAUUAGCUAGUUGGUAGGGUAACGGCCUACCAAGGCGAUGAUGCAUAGCCGAGCUGAGAGACUGAUCGGCCACAUUGGGACUGAGACACGGCCCAAACUCCUACGGGAGGCAGCAGCU
rnacentral:rRNA from 1 species